rnacentral:rRNA from 1 species
GACGAACGCUGGCGGCGUGCUUAACACAUGCAAGUCGAACGGAAAGGCCCUGCUUUUGUGGGGUGCUCGAGUGGCGAACGGGUGAGUAACACGUGAGUAACCUGCCCUUGACUUUGGGAUAACUUCAGGAAACUGGGGCUAAUACCGGAUAGGAGCUCCUGCUGCAUGGUGGUGGUUGGAAAGUUUCGGCGGUUGGGGAUAGACUCGCGGCUUAUCAGCUUGUUGGUGGGGUAGUGGCUUACCAAGGCUUUGACGGGUAGCCGGCCUGAGAGGGUGACCGGCCACAUGGGGACUGAGAUACGGCCCAGACUCCUACGGGAGGCAGCAGGGGGGAAUAUUGCACAAUGGGCGGAAGCCUGAUGCAGCAACGCCGCGUGCGGGAUGACGGCCUUCGGGUUGUAAACCGCUUUCGCCUGUGACGAAGCGUGAGUGACGGUAAUGGGUAAAGAAGCACCGGCUAACUACGUG